AUGGCGGUGCUGGGCGCGAGCGGCGCCGGCAAGAGCACGCUCAUCGACGCGCUGGCCAACCGGAUCCAGCGCGAGAGCCUCCGUGGCGCCGUCACGCUCAACGGCGACGCUCUCGACAGCCGCCUGCUUAGGGUCAUCUCGGCGUACGUCAUGCAGGACGACCUGCUGUACCCGAUGCUCACUGUUGCCGAGACCCUCAUGUACUCGGCCGAGUUUCGGCUCCCGCGCUCGCUCUCCAGUUCCAAAAAGAGGAGCCGCGUCCAGGCGCUCAUCGACCAGCUCGGCCUGCGCACCGCGGCCAACACCAUCAUCGGCGACGAGGGGCGGCGCGGCGUGUCCGGCGGGGAGCGCCGGCGCGUGUCCAUCGGCAUCGACAUCAUCCACGACCCCAUCAUUCUGUUCCUCGACGAGCCCACGUCCGGGCUCGACUCCACCAGUGCCUUCAUGGUGGUGAAGGUGCUGCAGGGCAUCGCGCAGAGCGGCAGCGUCGUGAUCAUGUCCAUCCACCAGCCGAGCUACCGCAUCCUCGGCCUCCUUGACCGUCUCCUGUUCCUCUCCUGCGGCAAGACGGUGUACUACGGCCCACCGGCUGCCCUACCUCCCUUCUUCUCGGAGUUUGGCCACCCGAUCCCCGACGGCGAGAACCCGGCCGAAUUCGCGCUGGAUCACAUACGCGAGCUCGAGGGCACCCAGGCCGGGACCAACGACCUCGUGCAGUUCAACAAGUCAUGGCAAGUGAAGCCGCUGUCCCGUGCCGUCUCGGCGGCAAGCACGAGCCCUCUCGGCAAGCCGUCGCUGUCCCUUAAGGAGGCCAUCAGUCUGAGCAUCGCCCGCGGCAAGCUGGUGUCCGGUACCAGCGCCAGCAGCCCGGAGACGGCGGCGACAGCCGAGGUGGCGACGUACCUUGGUGGGUGGAAGUGUGGGUGCUGA
rnacentral:rRNA from 1 species